UACGUAGGGGGCAAGCGUUGUCCGGAUUUAUUGGGCGUAAAGAGCGUGUAGGCGGCCAUGCAGGUCAGCUGUGAAAACCCGAGGCUCAACCUCGAGACGUCGGUUGAAACCGUAUGGCUAGAGUCCGGAAGAGGAGAAUGGAAUUCCCGGUGUAGCGGUGAAAUGCGCAGAUAUCGGGAAGAACACCCGUGGCGAAGGCGGCUCACUGGCCCGAUACUGACGCUGAGGCACGAAAGCGUGGGGAGCGAACAGG
rnacentral:rRNA from 1 species